AUUGAACGCUGGCGGCAGGCCUAACACAUGCAAGUCGAACGAGUGGCGGACGGGUGAGUAAUACCUCGGACUCUACUCUGUCGUUGGGGCUAACUUCUGGAAACUUUCGCUAAUACCGCAUACGAUCGAAUGUGCCCAUGUCGGAUUAGCUAGUUGGCGGGGUAACGGCUCACCUAGGCGACGAUCCCUAGCUGGUCUGAGAGGAUGACCAGCCACAAUGGAACUGAGACACGGUCCAGAAGCCUACGGGAGGCAGCAGUGGGGAAUAUUGCACAAUGGGCGCAAGCCUGAUGCAGCCAUGCCGCGUGUAUGAAGAAGGCCUUCGGGUUGUAAAGUACUUUCAGCGAGGAGGCGUUACCCGAAGAAGAAGCACCGGCUAACUCCGUGCCAGCAGCCGCGGUAAUUC
rnacentral:rRNA from 1 species